GAUGAAGAACGUAGCGAAAUGCGAUACGUAAUGUGAAUUGCAGAAUUCAGUGAAUCAUCGAAUCUUUGAACGCACAUUGCACUCCUUGGUAUUCCGAGGAGUAUGCCUGUUUCAGUAUCAUGAGCACUCUCACAUCUAACCUUUGGGUUAAAAUGUGGAAUUGGGAUGCGCCGGUUAUUAUAACGGCCCUCCUAAAAUUCAGUUCUUGGCUGCUUCCCACUACAGCAGUUUGGCCUAAUAGUUUUGAGUCUUCGAUUCAAAUCUUUGGCUAACAUUUGCUUCAGGAUGUCAGUCUUGAUAUACAGAAAUCUCAUUCAAACUUUGAUCUGAAAUCAGGUAGGGCUACCCGCUGAACUUAAGCAUAUCAAUAAGCGGAGGA
rnacentral:misc_RNA from 1 species